UACGUAGGUGGCAAGCGUUGUCCGGAUUUAUUGGGCGUAAAGGGUGCGUAGGUGGUCUUUCAAGUCGGUGGUUAAAGGCUACGGCUCAACCGUAUUAAGCCGUCGAAACUGGAAGACUUGAGUGCAGGAGAGGAAAGUGGAAUUCUCAGUGUAGCGGUGAAAUGCGUAGAUAUUGAGAAGAACACCAGUAGCGAAGGCGGCUUUCUGGACUGAAACUGACACUGAGGCACGAAAGCGAGGGUAGCAAACAGG
rnacentral:rRNA from 1 species